GAUGAACGCUAGCGGCAGGCCUAACACAUGCAAGUCGAGGGGUGACUAGAGUGAUAGCAAUAUUACUUUGGCUAGACCGGCGCACGGGUGCGUAACACGUAUGCAACCUACCUUAUACUGGGGAAUAACUUCGAGAAAUCGGCGCUAAUACCCCAUAACAUUGCGAAGAGGCAUCUCUUUGCAAUUAAAGCUCCGGCGGUAUAAGAUGGGCAUGCGUCCAAUUAGCUAGUUGGUGAAGUAACGGCUCACCAAGGCUACGAUUGGUAGGGGGUCUGAGAGGAUGAUCCCCCACACUGGUACUGAGACACGGACCAGACUCCUACGGGAGGCAGCAGUGAGGAAUAUUGCGCAAUGGACGAAAGUCUGACGCAGCCAUGCCGCGUGCAGGAUGACGGCCCUAUGGGUUGUAAACUGCUUUUGUACGGGAAUAAACCCUUCUACGUGUAGGAGGCUGAAGGUACCGUAAGAAUAAGCACCGGCUAACUCCGUGCCAGCCGCCGCAGUAAUAC
rnacentral:rRNA from 1 species